rnacentral:rRNA from 1 species
GACGAACGCUGGCGGCGUGCUUAACACAUGCAAGUCGAACGGUGAAGGGACCGGUUUUUGCUGGUUCUGGAUGAGUGGCGAACGGGUGAGUAACACGUGAGUAACCUGCCCCCUUCUUCUGGAUAACCGCAUGAAAGUGUGGCUAAUACGGGAUAUUCUGCGCCUGCUGCAUGGUGGGUGUGGGAAAGAUAUUGUUUCGGUGGGGGAUGGGCUCGCGGCCUAUCAGCUUGUUGGUGGGGUGAUGGCCUACCAAGGCGGUGACGGGUAGCGGGCCUGAGAGGGUGGACGGUCACACUGGGACUGAGACACGGCGCAGACUGCUACGGGAGGCAGAAGGGGGGAAUAUUGCACAAUGGGCGCAAGGCUGAUGCGGCGACGCCGCGUGAGGGAUGGAGGCCUUCGGGUUGUAAACCUCUUUCGCCAGUGAAGCAGGCCUGUCCCUUUUGUGGGUGGGUUGACGGUAGCUGGAGAAGAAGCGCCGGCUAACUACGUG